UUUCCCUUUCUGUUCCCUUUUAUGAUUCUACAAUUUCGGCCUCCACUAUCUGCUUCUUUCGUCCAGGUUCGCAAAGAGGCAACUGUCCGUUCGGGUUCAGACCUUAAAGGAUUACUUGAAGACCUACAAGGAACAAUUCACAGCAAUUUUGGCGUUUCGUCCAACAGAGAACAUAAGUGAUGGAUCAAAGUUGGUUAUUGAAUCGAAGUUGGAUACGUGCGCCACGCAUAAGUGAGCAAUAUGAGAUUGGAGUGUAAUAUUUUAUUGAAUAUGUAAUACGGAAUGGUAAUGAUGAUAUGAAUGGAAAUUUUCUCUAUCCUUGUGUUAAUUGUUGUAAUGAGAGUUGUUUAGAACUUGAUGUUAUAAGGGAACAUCUUUUAUGUGAUGGGUUUCUUAAGAUUUAUACACGUUGGAUAUGGCAUGGUGAAAAUAUUGAUAUUCCAAAUGUGUCGGCUAAAACUCAAAAUCAAACUUUUACACAAGAGGUAGAUAUGGAUGAUCGGCUUGAGGAGAUGAUUCGUGAUGUUGGUCCAGAAUCAUUCCAAAGAGCACAUAUGUAUGAAAUUUUAUGUAGGGAUUCAGAGAAGACGUUAUAUCCAAACUACACAAAAUUCACAAGAUUGUCAGCGGUAUUGAGAUUGUUUAAUUUGAAGGCGAGACAUGGGUGGAGUGAUAAAAGUUUCACAGAAUUGUUAGAGCUGUUGAAAGAAAUGCUUCCAGAAGGUAACACAUUGCCUAGUCGUAACUACGAGGCAAAAAAAGUGUUGUGUCCCAUGGGUUUAGAGUAUAAGAAGAUACAUGCAUGCCCAAAUGAUUGUAUGCUAUAUCAUGGUGAGUUUGAAGGGUUGCAUCAAUGUCCAAGGUAUGGGUUGUCACGAUAUAAAAAGAAGCAAAGUAAUUUUGAUUAUGAUGUUAGCACUAAGGGUCCUCCGACGAAGGUUCUAUGGUAUUUGCCAAUUGUUCCAAGAUUGAAGCGUUUGUUUGCUAAUGCAAAUGAUGCAAAGUUGAUGAGAUGACAUGAAGAUGAGAGGAAAUGUGAUGGACAACUUAGGCAUCCGACAGAUUUCUUGCAAUGGAAAAAAAUUAAUUCUAUGUUUCCAAAUUUUGGUAAGGAGGCAAGAAAUGUUAGGCUUGGACUAGCUAUAGAUGGAAUGAAUCCGUUUGGUAAUUUAAGCACAAAGCAUAAUUCAUGGCCUGUUUUGUUGGUAAUUUACAACUUACCUCCAUGGUUAUGCAUGAAACGCAAAUAUGUGAUGUUAUCUAUGAUGAUUUCUGGUCCAAGGCAACCAGGAAAUGACAUUGAUGUUUAUAUAAGUCCAUUGGUCAAAGACUUAAAGAUGUUGUGGGAGGAAGGAAUUGAUGUGUUUGACGGGUAUUCAAGUGAAUUAUUUAAGUUGCAUGCCAUGUUGUUCUGCACAAUCAAUGACUUUCCAGCAUAUGGAAACUUGUGCGAGUACAACGUUAAGGGGCAUAAAGCUUGCCCUAUAUGUGAAAAAGGGACUUGUUAUCAUCAAUUGCAUAAUUGGAAGAAGACAGUUUACCUAGGUCAUCAAAGGUUUCUUAAACCUAACCAUCCAUAUCGAAGGUUAAAGAAAGCUUUUAAUGGAUGUCAAGAAUAUGAUAUUGCUCCUACUGCCUUAACUGGUGAGGAAGUUUAUGAAUGAGUGAAGAAUUUAAAUGUGAUACUUGGAAAGACAAAAACACAAUCAAAAGAUAUAAACAUAUGGAAGAAGAGGUCGAUAUUAUUUGAUCUUCCAAUUGGAAGCUUCUUGAUGUUAGAAAUUGCAUUGAUGUCAUGCAUGUUGAGAAAAAUGUAUAUGUGACAGUGUAAUUGGCACACUUCUCAAUAUUUAGGGCAAGACAAAAGAUGGACUCAAAUCUCGUCUAGAUUUGCAACUCAUGGGGAUACGACAACAAUUAUAUCCACAAUCUAAGGGUAAGUGAACAUAUUUUCCCCCAGCAUGUCACACAUUGUCAAAAAAGGAGAAAACAAGUUUUUGUGAGUGUUUACAUGGUGUCAAAGUGCUGUACAGUUACUCUUCUAAUGUAAAAAGUCUAGUAUCAAUGAAAGAUUUGAAAUUAGUUGGCAUGAAGUCUCUCGAAUGUCAUGUACUGAUGCAACAGUAUCUUCCUAUGUUAUACGUAAUGUUUUACCUAAAAAUGUGAGACAAGUCAUAACUAGGCUUUGCUUAUUUUUCAAUGGCAUAUGCAACAAAGUAAUUGAUCCUCAGAAGUUGGAUGAAUUGGAAGAUGAAGCUGUUCUAAUAUUGUGUCAAUUAGAGAUGUAUUUUCCUCCUUCAUUUUUGGACAUUAUGGUUCACUUAAUCAUCCACUUUGUUAUGGAGGUUAUGUUUUGUUGUCCAGUCUUUUUGAGGUGGAUGUACCCAAUUGAGCGAUACAUGAAGAUACUAAAAGGGUAUGUGAAGAACCAAUAUCGUCCAGGAGCAUCCAUCAUAGAAAGGUACAUUGUAGAGGAUGCAAUUGAGUUUUGUACUGAAUACAUGUCUCAAGCUGAAUCAAUAGGCAUUCCUAAGACUGGUCAUGAGGGACGAAGUGCUGGGAAGGGUACAAUAGGCACAAAAAUAAAAAGCAUGAUGCGAGAAGAAGUACUUCAAGCGCAUUUGUAUAUAUUGAACAACACCGAUGAUGUUCUUCCUUAUUUAAAUGCCCACAAAGAUUUAGUGAAGAGAUUUUUUUAAGUAAUUUUUUUUGAAUUACUAUUCUAUUGAAAUUGAUUUUAUAUUAUUU